UCGGCACUCAUGGCUCAGCCAGCGUCUCCUGAACUCGUGUUGAUGUCCUUUUAAUCACACAUUUCUUUAAAAUCUGGAUUGGAUCAUCGCAGGACAGAGACAAUGCAGCUGAGCACCUGAGUGACGGCCCUGUGUUUCUGUCUGCCGUCAUGGACUCCCGGUCAAUUCUGAUCAUCUGUGUGUGUACACAGCUGUCAGUGUGUCUCCUGGGUUCAACUGCUGGUACCAGCCUGUGGGGCAAAAAAGUGCAAUUCUUUAGCCGUCCAUGCUUGUGUCAGCUCCGACCAGAUGCUGCAAUACCAGCUCUCAGUGAGCUGAGUGUGUGCAUGGU